CCUACGGGGGGCAGCAGUGAGGAAUAUUGGUCAAUGGACGAGAGUCUGAACCAGCCAAGUAGCGUGAAGGAUGACUGCCCUAUGGGUUGUAAACUUCUUUUAUAUGGGAAUAAAAUGUUCCACGUGUGGGAUUUUGUAUGUACCAUAUGAAUAAGGAUCGGCUAACUCCGUGCCAGCAGCCGCGGUAAUACGGAGGAUCCGAGCGUUAUCCGGAUUUAUUGGGUUUAAAGGGUGCGUAGGUGGAUUGUUAAGUCAGUUGUGAAAGUUUGCGGCUCAACCGUAAAAUUGCAGUUGAAACUGGCAGUCUUGAGUACAGUAGAGGUGGGCGGAAUUCGUGGUGUAGCGGUGAAAUGCUUAGAUAUCACGAAGAACUCCGAUUGCGAAGGCAGUUCACUGGACUGCAACUGACACUGAGGCUCGAAAGUGUGGGUAUCAAACAGGAUUAGAUACCCGAGUAGUC
rnacentral:rRNA from 1 species